rnacentral:rRNA from 1 species
GACGAACGCUGGCGGCGUGCCUAAUACAUGCAAGUAGAACGCUGAAGGAGGAGCUUGCUUCUCUGGAUGAGUUGCGAACGGGUGAGUAACGCGUAGGUAACCUGCCUGGUAGCGGGGGAUAACUAUUGGAAACGAUAGCUAAUACCGCAUAAGAGUAGAUGUCGCAUGACAUUUGCUUAAAAGGUGCAAUUGCAUCACUACCAGAUGGACCUGCGUUGUAUUAGCUAGUUGGUGAGGUAACGGCUCACCAAGGCAACGAUACAUAGCCGACCUGAGAGGGGGAUCGGCCACACUGGGACUGAGACACGGCCCAGAAUCCUACGGGAGGCAGCAGUAGGGAAUCUUCGGAAAUGGAAGGAAGUCUGACCGAGCAACGCCGCGUGAGUGAAGAAGGUUUUCGGAUCGUAAAGCUCUGUUGUAAGAGAAGAACGAGUGUGAGAGUGGAAAGUUCACACUGUGACGGUAUCUUACCAGAAAGGGACGGCUAACUACGUG